UACGUGAGGGGCAAGCGUUGUCCGGAAUCAUUGGGCGUAAAGCGCGUGUAGGCGGCUCGGUAAGUCCGCUCUGAAAGUCCAGGGCUCAACCCUGGGAUGCGGGUGGAUACUGCCGAGCUCGAGUCCGGAAGAGGCGAGUGGAAUUCCUGGUGUAGCGGUGAAAUGCGCAGAUAUCAGGAGGAACACCAAUGGCGAAGGCAGCUCGCUGGGACGUGACUGACGCUGAGACGCGAAAGCGUGGGGAGCAAACAGG
rnacentral:rRNA from 1 species